rnacentral:lncRNA from 1 species
AUGGAAAUUCACUUGGUUCCAGCCUUGUUUUCCUUUUGCAGUCAGGACACCUUAAAGCUUCAUUUGCUAAUUUUCACAGACUCAGUACUGAGGGAAAUUUAUUUAGAAUGGGUUUGUCAUUGCUUUCCUCUGAGACUGAAAGACUUGCCCAAAGUAACCCGACUGGUUUCCACAGCCAAGCAGGAAUGUGAACCCGUCUUUUGGAGUUCUAGCCCAACACUCACCACCCUGGCUCAUUUCCAUCUUGAUGCUAAAUGCCAUCUCUUUUCUUUUCCUUCUUUCUUGGUUCUGUUUUACUGA